GUAGGUGGCAAGCGUUGUCCGGAAUUAUUGGGCGUAAAGCGCGCGCAGGCGGUCCUUUAAGUCUGAUGUGAAAGCCCACGGCCCAACCGUGGAGGGUCAUUGGAAACUGGGGGACUUGAGUACAGAAGAGGAAAGCGGAAUUCCAUAUGUAGCGGUGAAAUGCGUAGAGAUUUGGAGGAACACCAGUGGCGAAGGCGGCUUUCUGGUCUGUAACUGACGCUGAGGCGCGAAAGCGUGGGGAGCAAACAGGGAUUAGAUACCCUGGUAGUCCACGCCGUAAACGAUGAGUGCUAAGUGUUAGGGGGUUUCCCGCCCCUUAGUGCUGCAGCUAACGCAUUAAGCACUCCGCCUGGGGAUACGGCCGCAAGGCUG
rnacentral:rRNA from 1 species